rnacentral:rRNA from 1 species
GACGAACGCUGGCGGCGUGCUUAACACAUGCAAGUCGAACGAUGAAGCCUUUCGGGGUGGAUUAGUGGCGAACGGGUGAGUAACACGUGGGCAACCUGCCCUGUACUUUGGGAUAAGCCUUGGAAACGAGGUCUAAUACCGGAUAUGAUGAGUCCUCGCAUGGGGGUUUGUUGAAAGUUCCGGCGGUACAGGAUGAGCCCGCGGCCUAUCAGCUUGUUGGUGGGGUAAUGGCCUACCAAGGCGACGACGGGUAGCCGGCCUGAGAGGGCGACCGGCCACACUGGGACUGAGACACGGCCCAGACUCCUACGGGAGGCAGCAGUGGGGAAUAUUGCACAAUGGGCGAAAGCCUGAUGCAGCGACGCCGCGUGAGGAUGACGGCCU